rnacentral:rRNA from 1 species
GACGAACGCUGGCGGCGUGCUUAACACAUGCAAGUCGAACGGAAAGGCCUGCUUUCCCUUGUGGAUUGCGGGUACUCGAGUGGCGAACGGGUGAGUAACACGUGAGUGAUCUGCCCCCAACUUGGGUAUAAGCCUGGGAAACUGGGUCUAAUUCCCGAUAGGACUGCAGGGUGGUGCCUGUGGUGGAACACGAUUUUCUAGUGGUUGGGGAUGAGCUCGCGGCCUAUCAGCUUGUUGGUGGGGUAAUGGCCUACCAAGGCGGCGACGGGUAGCCGGCCUGGGAGGGUGGACGGCCACAUUGGGACUGAGAUACGGCCCAGACUCCUACGGGAGGCAGCAGUGGGGAAUAUUACACAAUGGGCGGAAGCCUGAUGCAGCGACGCCGCGUGGGGGAUGACGGCCUUCGGGUUGUAAACUCCUUUCGACCGCGAGGAAGCCACCUGGUUGGAAGGGUGGUGACGGUAGUGGUAAAAGAAGCACCGGCUAACUACGUG